AACUAACGCUGGCGGCGUGCCUAACACAUGCAAGUCGUACGAGAAAGCCGGCUUCGGCUGGUGAGUAAAGUGGCGCACGGGUGAGUAACGCGUGGAUAAUCUGCCCUUAAGUGUGGAAUAACGUACCGAAAGGUGCGCUAAUACCGCAUAAUGCCUGGCAACACAAGUUGUCCGGCCAAAGAAGGCCUCUGUUUACAAGCUUUCGCUUCAGGAUGAGUCCGCGUACCAUUAGCUUGUUGGUGGGGUAAUGGCCUACCAAGGCUGCGAUGGUUAGCUGGUCUGAGAGGGUGAACGGCCACACUGGAACUGAGACACGGUCCAGACUCCUACGGGAGGCAGCAGUGGGGAAUAUUGCACAAUGGAGGGAACUCUGAUGCAGCGACGCCGCGUGAGUGAAGAAGGUCUUCGGAUCGUAAAACUCUGUCCUUGGUGAAGAAAAGGACGGUAGCCAAGGAGGAAGCCCCGGCUAACUACGUGCCAGCAGCCGCGGUAAGCAUACUCG
rnacentral:rRNA from 1 species